rnacentral:rRNA from 1 species
UACAGAGGGGGCAAGCGUUGUUCGGAAUUACUGGGCGUAAAGGGCGCGUAGGCGGCCUGUUAAGUCGAACGUGAAAUCCCUCGGCUUAACCGGGGAACUGCGUCUGAUACUGGAUGGCUAGAGAUUGGGAGAGGGAUGCGGAAUUCCAGGUGUAGCGGUGAAAUGCGUAGAUAUCUGGAGGAACACCGGUGGCGAAGGCGGCAUCCUGGACCAACACUGACGCUGAGGAGCGAAAGCCAGGGGAGCAAACGGG